rnacentral:lncRNA from 1 species
AGAAACUGAAGAUCAAUGACUUAGACCCACUAGGUAACUGAAGUUGCAAAGGAAACAGCCAACCUGAAAUCUGAAAAGACCCAUAGAUACAGAAAAUCACAGCCAAGAUCUGCAUACUUGAAGAUCUGCAUACUUAGAGAAUAACUGCUGAAGUUAAUACUGGCACAUAUUAAGCCUAGAAUGUGCUAGCCAAUGUGGUACUGGACUGACGUGGCUCAUGGAUCUCAUGGUGGGAACUACAUAGAGUGGACUUAUGAGAAAAGCCAGCUGGGGCUCCAGGAGCAUCACGGAGCAAAGAGAGCUUUUCAGGCCUCAUUUUCACUAUAGGACCAGUGAAUAACUCUGGAUGGCAGAUAAAUCAUAGGGUGGAGAGAAAGGAGUAGAAGGCUUCAAUGAUGAUACCCUGUUUCCGUCAAUGACAGAUCAUUAUCGUUCUGGGGAAUCCACCUGCCAUGGUGAGUAGCACUACAAGAGAGGCCCAUGCAGCAAAGAAUUGAAACCUCUAAACAAUAGCCAUCAAAGACUUGGAACCAACUCAAAUGUCCAUCAAUGAUAGACUGGAUUAAGAAAAUGUGGCACAUAUACACCAUGGAAUACUAUGCAGCCAUAAAAAAGGAUGAGUUCAUGUCCUUUGUAGGGACAUGGAUGAAGCUGGAAACCAUCAUUCUCAGCAAACUAUCACAAGAACAAAAAACCAAACACCACAUGUUUUCACUUACAGGUGGGAACUGAACAAUGAGAACACUUGGACACAGGAAGGGGAACAUCACACACUGGGGCCUGUUGUGGGGUGGGGGGGAGGAAGGAGGGAAAGCAUUAGGAGAUAUACCUAAUGUAAAUGAGUUAAUGGGUGCAGCACACCAACAUGGCACAUGUAUACAUAUGUAACAAACCUGCACGUUCUGCACAUGUACCCUAGAACUUAAAGUAUAAUUAAAAAAAAAAAAAGCAGCAGCAUAUGAUGGG